GACGAACGCUGGCGGCGUGCCUAAUACAUGCAAGUAGAACGCUGAAGGAGGAGCUUGCUUCUCUGGAUGAGUUGCGAACGGGUGAGUAACGCGUAGGUAACCUGCCUGGUAGCGGGGGAUAACUAUUGGAAACGAUAGCUAAUACCGCAUAAUAGUAGAUGUUGCAUGACAUUUGCUUAAAAGGUGCAAUUGCAUCACUACCAGAUGGACCUGCGUUGUAUUAGCUAGUUGGUGGGGUAACGGCUCACCAAGGCGACGAUACAUAGCCGACCUGAGAGGGUGAUCGGCCACACUGGGACUGAGACACGGCCCAGACUCCUACGGGAGGCAGCAGUAGGGAAUCUUCGGCAAUGGACGGAAGUCUGACCGAGCAACGCCGCGUGAGUGAAGAAGGUUUUCGGAUCGUAAAGCUCUGUUGUAAGAGAAGAACGAGUGUGAGAGUGGAAAGUUCACACUGUGACGGUAUCUUACCAGAAAGGGACGGCUAACUACAUG
rnacentral:rRNA from 1 species